rnacentral:rRNA from 1 species
GACGAACGCUGGCGGCGUGCCUAAUACAUGCAAGUAGAACGCUGAAGGAGGAGCUUGCUUCUCCGGAUGAGUUGCGAACGGGUGAGUAACGCGUAGGUAACCUGCCUGGUAGCGGGGGAUAACUAUUGGAAACGAUAGCUAAUACCGCAUAAGAGUAGAUGUUGCAUGACAUUUGCUUAAAAGGUGCAAUUGCAUCACUACCAGAUGGACCUGCGUUGUAUUAGCUAGUUGGUGAGGUAACGGCUCACCAAGGCGACGAUACAUAGCCGACCUGAGAGGGGGAUCGGCCACGCUGGGACUGAGACACGGCCCAGACUCCUACGGGAGGCAGCAGUAGGGAAUCUUCGGCAAUGGACGGAAGUCUGACCGAGCAACGCCGCGGGAGUGAAGAAGGGUUUCGGAUCGUAAAGCUCUGUUGUAAGGGAAGAACGAGUGUGAGAGUGGAAAGUUCACACUGUGACGGUAUCUUACCAGAAAGAGACGGCUAACUACGUG